CCAUGGGCCUAGCCAUGGGCCUCCAUUCAGUGGAUAUAUUACCAUGGGCCUAGCCAUGGGCCUCCAUUCAGUGGAUAUAUUACCAUGGGCCUAGCCAUGGUCUUCUAAGUGGAUAUAUUACCAUGGGCCUAGCCAUGGGCCUCUAAGUGGAUAUAUUACCAUGGGCCUAGCCAUGGGCCUCCAUUCAGUGGAUAUAUUACCAUGGGCCUAGCCAUGGGCCUCUAAGUGGAUAUAUUACCAUGGGCCUAGCCAUGGGCCUCCAUUCAGUGGAUAUAUUACCAUGGGCCUAGCCAUGGGCCUCUAAGUGGAUAUAUUACCAUGGGCCUCGAUUCAGUGGAUAUAUUACCAUGGGCCUAGCCAUGGUCCUCUAAGUGGAUAUAUUACCAUGGCCCUAGCCAUGGGCCUCCAUUCAGUGGAUAUAUUACCAUUGGCCUAGCCAUGGUCCUCUAAGUGGAUAUAUUACCAUGGGCCUAGCCAUGGUCCUCUAAGUGGAUAUAUUACCAUGGGCCUAGCCAUGGUCCUCUAAGUGGAUAUAUUACCAUGGGCCUAGCCAUGGGCCUCCAUUAAGUGGAUAUAUUACCAUGGCCCUAGCCAUGGGCCUCCAUUCAGUGGAUAUAUUACCAUGGCCUCCAUUCAGUGGAUAUAUUAUCAUGGCCUCCAUUCAGUGGAUAUAUUACCAUGGAUAUAUUACCAUGGCCUCCAUUCAGUGGAUAUAUUACCAUGGCCUCCAUUCAGUGGAUAUAUUACCAUGGGCCUCCAUUCAGUGGAUAUAUUACCAUGGCCUCCAUUCAGUGGAUAUAUUACCAUGGCUUCCAUUCAGUGGAUAUAUUACCAUGGGCCUCCAUUCAGUGGAUAUAUUACCAUGGGCCUCCAUUCAGUGGAUAUAUUACCAUGGCCUCCAUUCAGUGGAUAUAUUACCAUGGCCCUAGCCGUGGGCUUAAGUGUAUAUAUUAUUUGUUAUUUUUGUGCCACAUACAGGAAAUAAUGUGAACAAGUGUACUUAAUGACACCCUGUCCAAUAAUAUAAUUAGAUUUUCAACUCUAAGUAGUAGUCUGACUGUAGGAAAGGUGAUUUAUUAAGAUAAUGCUGUAUGCCUCAACAUCUUAAAGCAUUGAAAAGUGAGAAAUUGGUUUUGAAUUGUUUUGUGUGAUUAUGGAUUUUGGGGGGGGGGGGAUAAUUAAUAAAAAAAUAUGUAACUCGUUUUAUAUGAAUAUUGUUGUGUUUUUUAGUUUGUAAUAUGAUCCU
rnacentral:lncRNA from 1 species